UACGUAGGUGGCAAGCGUUGUCCGGAUUUACUGGGCGUAAAGAGCGCGCAGGCGGUCGUUCAAGUCGCGUGUGAAAGCCCACGGCUCAACCGUGGAGGGUCAUUGGAAACUGGGGGGACUUGAGUACAGAAGAGAAGAGUGGAAUUCCACGUGUAGCGGUGAAAUGCGUAGAGAUGUGGAGGAACACCAGUGGCGAAGGCGACUCUUUGGUCUGUAACUGACGCUGAGGCGCGAAAGCGUGGGGAGCAAACAGG
rnacentral:rRNA from 1 species